UAUUAAUAUUGGAUGUAUGGUUUUGGAGUUAUGAAAGUUGGGUAAAAAGUGUGUUUUAAAAUGUAUGGAUAAUUGGGUUACCUCUCAGGCUAAGGGGAGGAGAUGUGUGGGAUGUAACCAUUGUGUGAUUGGUUGUACUGUGUCCCACCCUGUGGGAUGUCCCCUUGCAUGGGGACCUGCAUAAAAGAAGGUUCUUUGUGUGCCAAUAAACAGUUCAUCUUUGUACCCUUAUUCUGACUACGUAUGCUGUUUGGGAGUUCGUGUGUUUUACUGUGGGAAUUAUCCAG